rnacentral:rRNA from 1 species
GAUCCUGGCUCAGGAUGAACGCUGGCGGCGUGCUUAACACAUGCAAGUCGAACGAUGAUCCCNNGCUUGCAUGGGGGAUUAGUGGCGAACGGGUGAGUAACACGUGAGUAACCUGCCCUUAACUNUGGGAUAAGCCUGGGAAACUGGGUCUAAUACCGGAUAUGACUCCUCAUCGCAUGGUGGGGGGUGGAAAGCUUUUGUGGUUUUGGAUGGACUCGCGGCCUAUCAGCUUGUUGGUGAGGUAAUGGCUCACCAAGGCGACGACGGGUAGCCGGCCUGAGAGGGUGACCGGCCACACUGGGACUGAGACACGGCCCAGACUCCUACGGGAGGCAGCAGUGGGGAAUAUUGCACAAUGGGCGGAAGCCUGAUGCAGCGACGCCGCGUGAGGGAUGACGGCCUUCGGGUUGUAAACCUCUUUCAGUAGGGAAGAAGCGAGAGUGACGGUACCUGCAGAAGAAGCGCCGGCUAACUACGUGCCAGCAGCCGCGGUAAUACGUAGGGCGCAAGCGUUAUCCGGAAUUAUUGGGCGUAAAGAGCUCGUAGGCGGUUUGUCGCGUCUGCCGUGAAAGUCCGGGGCUCAACUCCGGAUCUGCGGUGGGUACGGGCAGACUAGAGUGAUGUAGGGGAGACUGGAAUUCCUGGUGUAGCGGUGAAAUGCGCAGAUAUCAGGAGGAACACCGAUGGCGAAGGCAGGUCUCUGGGCAUUAACUGACGCUGAGGAGCGAAAGCAUGGGGAGCGAACAGGAUUAGAUACCCUGGUAGUCCAUGCCGUAAACGUUGGGCACUAGGUGUGGGGGACAUUCCACGUUUUCCGCGCCGUAGCUAACGCAUUAAGUGCCCCGCCUGGGGAGUACGGCCGCAAGGCUAAAACUCAAAGGAAUUGACGGGGGCCCGCACAAGCGGCGGAGCAUGCGGAUUAAUUCGAUGCAACGCGAAGAACCUUACCAAGGCUUGACAUGAACCGGUAAGACCUGGAAACAGGUCCCCCACUUGUGGCCGGUUUACAGGUGGUGCAUGGUUGUCGUCAGCUCGUGUCGUGAGAUGUUGGGUUAAGUCCCGCAACGAGCGCAACCCUCGUUCCAUGUUGCCAGCGCGUUAUGGCGGGGACUCAUGGGAGACUGCCGGGGUCAACUCGGAGGAAGGUGGGGACGACGUCAAAUCAUCAUGCCCCUUAUGUCUUGGGCUUCACGCAUGCUACAAUGGCCGGUACAAAGGGUUGCGAUACUGUGAGGUGGAGCUAAUCCCAAAAAGCCGGUCUCAGUUCGGAUUGGGGUCUGCAACUCGACCCCAUGAAGUCGGAGUCGCUAGUAAUCGCAGAUCAGCAACGCUGCG